rnacentral:rRNA from 1 species
UACGGAGGGUGCGAGCGUUGUCCGGAAUCACUGGGCGUAAAGGGCGCGUAGGCGGCGCGGGAAGUCCGUGGUGAAAGCCCGAGGCUCAACUUCGGGUCGGCCAUGGAUACUCCUGGGCUCGAGCACUGUAGAGGCAGGUGGAAUUCCGGGUGUAGCGGUGGAAUGCGUAGAGAUCCGGAAGAACACCGGUGGCGAAGGCGGCCUGCUGGGCAGU